GUACACUCCUACGGGAGGCAGCAGUGGGGAAUUUUGGACAAUGGGCGAAAGCCUGAUCCAGCAAUGCCGCGUGAGUGAAGAAGGCCUUCGGGUUGUAAAGCUCUUUUGUCAGGGAAGAAACGGUGAAAGCUAAUAUCUUUUGCUAAUGACGGUACCUGAAGAAUAAGCACCGGCUAACUACGUGCCAGCAGCCGCGGUAAUACGUAGGGUGCAAGCGUUAAUCGGAAUUACUGGGCGUAAAGCGUGCGCAGGCGGUUUUGUAAGUCUGAUGUGAAAUCCCCGGGCUCAACCUGGGAAUUGCAUUGGAGACUGCAAGGCUAGAAUCUGGCAGAGGGGGGUAGAAUUCCACGUGUAGCAGUGAAAUGCGUAGAUAUGUGGAGGAACACCGAUGGCGAAGGCAGCCCCCUGGGUCAAGAUUGACGCUCAUGCACGAAAGCGUGGGGAGCAAACAGGAUUAGAAACCCCUGUAGUCCCA
rnacentral:rRNA from 1 species